GGGGCGUGAAUCACCUGGGCCUGAUGCUGGAUGUGGACGACGAUGAUAAGUCAAGAAUGGUGGAGCUGCAGAAGGUUGAACUGGAUUAUGUGGAGGAACUGGAGCUAUAGGUGGUGGAGCUACAACCGGAAUUGUAGGUGGUGGAACUGGAGCUAUAGGUGGUAGAGCUACAACUGGAGCUAUAGGUGGUGGAGCUACAACUGGAGUUGUAGGUGGUGGAGCUGGAGUGACUGAAUCUCCAAAAGAUGAAACUGGUAGUACCUCAGAAAUAUCUAAGUGAUGACCUAAACCUGUGAAGUAUGAUUGGGUUUCAAAGAAGGUAACAUCAGCGGACAUAAGGUACCGCUGGAGGUCAGGAGAGUAGCAUCGAUACCCCUUUUGUGUUCUCGAGAAACCCAGAAAUACGCACUUAAGAGCACGAGGAGCUAACUUAUCUGUUCCUGGAGUAAGGUUAUGG
rnacentral:lncRNA from 1 species